rnacentral:rRNA from 1 species
GGGAGUAAAGUUUUGUUUAAACCGAAAAAAUAUUGACUGACUCUGGAUUUCUUUUUGGAAUAUGUGUAUGGAGAGCCCUCUUUAAUAGUAAAUCUUUUUUUGCACAUGUAUGAUUGUUUAGUUUUUAUUUUGUUUUGUAAYGCUUUUUUUAGAUUUAAAACAGAUAUAUACUUGGCUUAUGGGUUUAUUAAUC